AUGAAUCAUCAUCGAUUGAAGGAGGGCAUGCGUGCUCCGGCCUUUUCUGAGCAAGAAUUCAACGCACUCAGUUCGGUGGAUGCGUACAUCCGAGCGGCUCGAGACGGGCUUGCCGGAGUCACUCAGUUGUUCUCAAAGGACAUACAGGUUCUGAAAGAAAAGAACACUGUGCUAGCCCAGGAGCUGAAAACAAACCAGACGCAACUGAAUGCGGUCACCGCCGAACUGGCGGAAAUGAAAAAGAUCGCAACGGGCGCGUCCAAGGAGAAAAAUCUCGAGGAGGAAAAGGACAAACAAUCUGAAGAGAUAGAGAACUUGAGGGCUCAGUUAUCGGCUGCUCAGAAAGAGAAUAAAAAACUGAAAGGCGGCAUGUUUGGCAUGUCUUCCUCUCUUAUUUAG
rnacentral:rRNA from 1 species